rnacentral:lncRNA from 1 species
GUUAUUAAAGUCAUUAUUCAUUGACGGUCUACUUUAAAUCUAUUUUUUUUUUGUCGCAUAAUUGUUUACAUUUUGUAGAAACUUUAAUUUAGUCGACACUAAUUAUUGACAUUAAAACUUGAAUUUCUACUCAUAAAACAAGCAAAGACAAAAAUUCAAGACCAUAUCUACUUUGAGAGCUAUUUGUGUACUUCAGCCCUAUAAAAAGGGCAUCCGAUGAAUUAUUUUCUGUAAAUAAACCUUAAUAAUUGUUGUCCUAGGCCCAACUUCAUUUUUUCUGGAAUGUAUAUCCUAUGACCAAUAUAUAUUCAUCUAAAAUCUCAAUUGGUUAGUUUUCUGUUCAGUAUAGGGAUAUAGUAAUACAUGCUCGUUUAUCAAAUAAAUUCAGCCGCUAAUAUGUUUAGUUUCAGUAGAGAAUGGUAUGUUCAUAUCAAAUUACAAAGAUGAUUUUUGGAUCCAACAAACAAAUGAUUCAGACGCCCAUAUCGGAUGCAAAAUUUAAUUAAUAAGAUCACAGUAUGCAGAUACAAAUUGCCCGGCAUUUAUACUGUCCUUAUUGUCCGGUGCUACCAAGCUAGUAUAAAAUACUACACAAAAGAUAUAUGAAGUAUAAACACACUUCUUGUGUAAACAUUAGACGUAAAUCAUGCUUGUUGAUGGACAUCCAUAUAAAUAAUUAGCAUCAACAAGAACUUUUUCUCUUUUUGCCCGCUUAAGAUCUUCAUCCACCGUCAUCUUCACCAAUUGCUCAAAUCUGACUCUGGUUUCCAACCCAAAACCUUCUUCGUUUUGCUUGCAUCUCCUUUGAGAUUAUCUACUUCUGCGGGCCUAAAAUACCUCUGGUCAAUAUUCACAUGUUCCUUCCACAAUUAAACCCCACCUAAUCAAAUGUCACUUCGCAAAACUCCACCGCAACAUGUGACUCUUCAAUUAUCAACACAUAAUUAUCAGGCUUCCCAUGUUGUCUAUCAAGAAAAGUUCCAUUUUUUCUUGACAAGUGGUUAUAACUACAUCCUUUAUAAUCAUUAUGACAAGUUGGCUUGCUUUUUGAUGCAGCAACAAAUGAGCCUUUCUAUUAGAAAAGGUGAGAACUCGGAUUCAAUAAGUCAUGCUCUUCAAGAACAUAGCUUGAGUUUUCAUAGAAUGAAACAAUGAGUCCAAAACAUCAAUCUACCAGAAAUUGAGAGGUAAAAGGGAAUAGUGGAAAUUGAGAUAUCUCUAAUAACAUAAAGGUUGUAGUAAUAAUCACUUGUGAAAAAAAAUUGAAACUUUUCUGGAUAGACAACAUGAGAAGCUUGAUGAUUAUGUGUUCGUUACUGAAGAGUCACGUACUGUGGAGGAGUUUUGCGAAGUGGCAUUUGGUUAUGUGGGGUUAAGCUGGAAGGAACAUGUGGAGAUUGACCAUAGGUAAUUUAGGCUCGUGGAAGUGGAUAAUCUCAAAGGAGAUGCAAGCAAAGCGUAAAAGGUUUUGGGUUGGAAACCUAGAGUCGGAUUUGAGCAAUUGGUGAAGAUGACGUAGAUGAAGAUCUUAAGCUAGCUAAGAGAGAAAGUUGUUAUUGACGCUGGCUAUAUAGAUGCCAAUCAAAAAGCAUGAUUUACAUCGAAAUUUUAUAUUGGAUUAUAUUCCUAUGAAAUGUACCUAAGAAUGGAGCUUGUAAGAAGAGAAUUCAUUCCUAUGAAAUGUACCUAAGAAUGGAGCUUUUUAUAGGUGCCUCAUUAGGAUUAUUAGUUAAGCCUAAUCCAUUCUAGAGAUAGUUACCCUUUUCUUAUCAGGAAUUAACAAAGGAAUCUUUUAACGAAUAUAUCAACCAUGCAAUCUUUUCAAUGCAUGUGACAAAAUGUGACAAAAUGUGACAGUUCAACCAGUCUUUUCACUUCAAGAACCUUUUCCUAGUGAAAUGUUUUAGAUGGUAUACCAAAUUGGGUAUUGGGACUUUGUAGAUGCAUGUGAUAUUAUUAACUAAUUGUAGCAGCCACCGAAUGAGCUAGCUUUGCGAAACAAAUUUCUUGAUACCAUAUAUGUGUAUAACAACAGCAACAAUUACUACACUCAAUCCUAACAAGCUGGGGUUGGCGAUAUAAAUCCUCGUUUAUAUAUAUAUAUAUNNNNNNNNNNNNNNNNNNNNNNNNNNNNNNNNNNNNNNNNNNNNNNNNNNNNNNNNNNNNNNNNNNNNNNNNNNNNNNNNNNNNNNNNNNNNNNNNNNNNNNNNNNNNNNNNNNNNNNNNNNNNNNNNNNNNNNNNNNNNNNNNNNNNNNNNNNNNNNNNNNNNNNNNNNNNNNNNNNNNNNNNNNNNNNNNNNNNNNNNNNNNNNNNNNNNNNNNNNNNNNNNNNNNNNNNNNNNNNNNNNNNNNNNNNNNNNNNNNNNNNNNNNNNNNNNNNNNNNNNNNNNNNNNNNNNNNNNNNNNNNNNNNNNNNNNNNNNNNNNNNNNNNNNNNNNNNNNNNNNNNNNNNNNNNNNNNNNNNNNNNNNNNNNNNNNNNNNNNNNNNNNNNNNNNNNNNNNNNNNNNNNNNNNNNNNNNNNNNNNNNNNNNNNNNNNNNNNNNNNNNNNNNNNNNNNNNNNNNNNNNNNNNNNNNNNNNNNNNNNNNNNNNNNNNNNNNNNNNNNNNNNNNNNNNNNNNNNNNNNNNNNNNNNNNNNNNNNNNNNNNNNNNNNNNNNNNNNNNNNNNNNNNNNNNNNNNNNNNNNNNNNNNNNNAAUCUCUUUUGCCGCAAAAAAUUAUAUUGUGCAAAUAAAGCAACUAACGGAUGAUUAUGGCUAUAUAUAGACUAUUGAAUCCCUUUGAGGCUAAUAGUGUUGUGGAUUAUCUAGCAAAAAGAGCCAAGAAUAGUCAACAAGGUUCCUUCUAUUACACCUUCGAAAGCCCUUCCUAGAGGUGCGAAGGGCCCCUUUAUGUUGGACAAAUUUCAGAUGCCUACUAUUAGGCAAAGAUACGACAAGGCUAAUUUCUUUGUUAGUUAGCCCUUUUUAGUUGAUGGGAUGGCUGAAUAAUUAAUGUAUGCUUUAAGGCCAUCCUUUUUUUGAAGGACAAUUGCUUGUCCGUAUGUUGUAAUUUUGAGGUAAGGUCAAGUCCCCCUCUGGUUCUCUUUCUCAUGAAUAUAACUAAACCCACAUCACUAGGAAAAUUUAUAAAAAUAAAAAAUAAAAAAUAAAUCCCUUUGACAUUAGGAAAGAUUUUAGUGUGGUAUUCGAGAAUUGCUUUAGGUCACUGUUCAAUUGCUAGGCGUGACUUAACCGCAAUCUUGAACUCACAGCUUUCAACCCCACAAACGCACCGUCACUAACAUGCUAACUUGCGAAAAUAAGAAAAUCUCAUAAUCAACUCUGAACCACAAGCAAAUUGAACAUCUCAACAAGUGCGAACCUUGCAUUUAACUCAAUCUAGGAGAACAUCACCACACACAAUAUAACUUCUAUACUUGUAGCAAACAUCAACUCCGGCAUUGGCCAUAACCAUGGUAAUUUCUUCAGAACUCAUUAACACAUGAUUGAGUCAUCAGAACCGAUCGCCUCUAACUCAACCGAAUCACCCAGACUGCCAACCUGCAAGCAACUCAAUCUGAUAUGCAUCGCUCUAAAGGGACCUUCUGGGACUCUAAAGCCAUUUCUUUCAUCCAUCCAAUAUUGCCAUAUAGAAUCAUUCUUGACAUAGUAAUACCGCAGAUUCGAUUACCAUUCGAUACCGAUCUCAAGCCUUACCCAUACACAAAUUUAGAAGUCCUUAAAUGUUACAUAUGAUCUGAAACUCGUCAGAACCUUAUCGAUAACCACUCACCUCUUCAAUAGACAAUUAAUACGCACCGAGCAACCCACGCUUCACCAGCACAUGACUAUUCAAAGUAAUAACCAAGCAACCCCUCAGCCCGACAACUGAUACAACGCAUGAUCCUAUAAUCCGAUCGUCAUUAGCAGACUCUCCCAUUUAGCCCGAAGCCAUAGAACACAUCGUCGGUAAUCCAAAGUCACAUAUCUUUAUAGCAUGCCCCGAUCCCGCACGGCAAUUUAGUUGAAUACUUCAAAAAAGGCCAUGCAAUACUUGUCAUAGAACACUUCGAAGACUCUGCCAAGCACUUACCCAUCCUUACAAUAGUCAAACAACUUCCCCAAAUGCUCUGAAAUGAUAAUAUAUGCAUCCCACCGAAUGGAAACCACAUACGAAACACACGAUCCAAACUCAUCACGCAGGAGAUAACCCACAAAUGCAACAACUCACCAUGAACCCACCAUAAUCAAAACAACUAGUCCAGUAGACCGCCUUUCCAUGUUCGUGCUUACCAACCAGAUAUAAGAGCCCGCCUCGUAUCACAAAUGAACGACUGAAAGAUUUAACACUGCAUUUGCUCCCCAGACUAGACAUCACAUCGCGAUGAUAAUCAAGCAUCCAUAGCCUUCGUAAUCCAUCUGCAGCAUCAUAAAUCAUCGACGCAUAGCAAUUACUGAUGCACAACAUCUCAUAUGAACGAAUAUGAAGAAUCAAAAUAGGUUUCAAGAUGAAACAAGGCCGCACGAUAAGGAAAGAAGAAAGGGAAAUUUUCUUAAAUGUCAUGUAGACUCUCAAAGAUAGGUAUGGAUGUCAUCAUACCGAUCCGCAAGACUCUACUAGACAUUUGCUCAUGACUCGUAGAACCUACGAACCUAGUGCUCUGAUACCAACUUGUCACAACCCAAAAUCUACAAAUCGUGAUGGCAUCUAACCCGACCCGUUAGGUCAUCCAAUUAACAGUUAACACAAUUCUAAUAAAAUAAAUGUGAUCAAUAAUUGAUAUAUCUGGAUUCCAAACAAUAACCCAAGGACUAGUAGUACAAGAUAUGAGCUACUAAGACUGGAUUAUUGCAAAAAUGGAUGUGAAAUAAAUACAACUUCUGUUUAAAAUGUACAUAAACAUAAUUAAACUCUAAAACUACCCAGGGACUAGUGGUACCCACAUCCGAAAGGCACGAACAUCUUCAGAGUCAUCCCCCGUCAUCCACCGCAGCUCCGCUCCAAAAAUUUGCACGCAAGGUGCAGAAGUGUAGUAUGAGUACAACCGACCCCAUGUACUCAAUAAGUAUCUUGACUAACUUCGGUGAAGUAGUGACGAGGCUUUUUAGUUAAAAGAUAAUCAUUGAUAUAACAUAUACAGUAAACAAGCAAUAGAACGAUACUACAAUAUAACAGAAAAGAGUACACAAAACGAAUAUGCGAAGCAAUAAAUGAGUACUAGAAGAGAUCACAAUUUAGCAUUUUCUAAUAUCUUGACCAAUGAACCAAUGAACCACGAUAGUAACUCCAUAACUUUCAUAGUGUGAGAAAUGUACACAAGAUAUCAUGUCAAGGGCACGACAACACUCUUCGUGCAUUUAUCUAAUCCUCACCAAAUAUACGUAUAACAGUACCAACCGAGUGAAAGUAAUGCCAAUAACAGUAAUGACAAAGUGAAAAAUACACAGGAAACAAUAACGAAGAAGGCAGUACAUAUGGUCAAUAGUAGCAGACUAGGUAGGAGGCAUAGAAAUAAUGACAGCAAUUAGGAAAGAAGAAUAUAAAUUUUACUAACUAGCAUGGUAGAAGGCCUAUGUGUAGAUAUAACAAACAAGAGGGAAAUCAUGAUCUUUAUGAGCUAAUACCUAGAAGGCAUAAAUAACUAACAUGAUAAUAAGCUUAUACGAAAAUGCAACAAAUGAGGAACGCCAUGGAUGUAGAUAUAACAACAAAAAGGGAAACAUGAUAUUUCCAAGUUAAACAAACAGAAGGCAUGGGCAAUACAACAACAAUUGAGAUAGAGAACAAAACCAUAACAAUAACGACAAGUCACAUAGAAAACUUAGGUACAACAGUAUUAGUUCAAGGUAAAGGCAUGAACGUAUACACCAUGAAAAGAUAUCACAACAUAAUGCAUGUCCCUCUUCCUAGCCUGCACGGAAAUACCCUUCGUGCCAUGAACCCAUGAUAAUAUAAAUGAAAUGGCACGGCAUCACCGUUCAUGCUUUUACACACAUCCUCACAUGUUAAUAUAAAUGAGAACACGCGGCAUCACCCUUCAUGCUUUUACUUUCACCUUCACAUGAUAACGUAAAUAAAAUGGCAUGGCAUCACUCUUCGUGCUUUACACUCUUCCUCACAUGAUAAUGCAUACGCAAUGGCACGACAUCACCCUUCGUGCUUUACGCUCUUCCUCACCAAGCAUAUGUAUACCAAUGACAAGUAAGGUAGGAAGCAUGAAUAACAUCAAGGAGAGUGUUUAAGCGAAUAUUCCAAAUGAACAUCAAUCACAUGUUUCCAGCCAAUAACAAUUCAACAAACCUCAAGUACUUUAUUAUUCAAGUAUUUUGACAAAUCUAAAAAAAAUGAUCUUUAACUCAAGUAUAGAAUCAAAUAUCUCAAGAAUAUCGGUCGUAAUGAUGUAUUAAUGAUUAAACAUAUUGAUGACCGAAUUUAACACAUCAAUAGUUUCACAAAAAAUCAUCAAAUUUUAAUCAAGUUAUAAUGAGCCAAAUCUUGGUUCCUAGCAUUUAAUUUCAUAUUCUUGGUAAUCUAGAAGUCAAGCAGGGCAUGAAACGAGAAGGUCACAAAAUUUUACAAGGCACAAUUAAUCGUAUAUUCUACCCCCGAGCAUUAUUAACCCUGGUACAUGCAUAUACACUUGUCACAUCAUAUAUGCAUCACCCCCGCAUGUAGCAAAAAAUGGCAAUUAGUAGAAAAACUUUUUUCAACAAAGUUAGGCAAGAUACUUACCUCAAUUCAGCCAAAUCAAUACUCAAAUUAGCUUUUCCUUUACAAAUUCAUCUCCACUCGACUCAAUCUAGCCAAAGACGACUUAAAUACAUCAAACAAUGCAAGAGAAAACAAUUCCAAUUAGGAAAGCUAUGAUCUUUAUACAAUUUUUAAAAAGUCAACAAAAGUUAACCCUGGGAUGCCCAGUCAAAACUCGGGUCCAAGGGUAGGUAUUGAUUACCAAUAGCCUCACGAGUCGAUAUACGUGUUUUGUUUCCAAAUCCGAGUCCAAUUCGAUUCUCAAAUCCAAAAUAUUUCAAUUAUUUCAAAUUUUUGACAAAAUCACCAAAUGUUUCCCUUAGAUACUCAUGAAUUUGAUGUUAAUUCUAAUGUAUAAUCACGAAAUAUAUUGAAAGUUGAUUAAAAUUACUUACCCGAUAGUUUGGUAGGAACAUCCUUCCACAAAAUCGCCUCCCAUCAAGGCUAAGGUUCAAAAUAUAUCAAAAUGAAGCUAAGUCUCGGAAUUACUCAGCUAUAUGCAGACUGCAGAUGUCGCAUUUGUGACAUAAGGUUCGCAAAUGCGAACCCCGCAAAAGAAGACAAGGCAUCGCAAAAGCGAACCAGGAGGAGUUCUACUAAGUCGCAUUUGCGACCAAAAUAUCGCAAUUGCGAAGACAGAUGCCAUCGCAAAAUCGGAAGAAAGCUUCUCAAAAGCGAAUAGCCCACACUCGCCAAUGCGAUGAAUGUCUUAGAAAAUGCGAACUCUUCCCCAAUAGCCUAGUUUCGCAAAUGCGAGGGCUACUUCGCAAAUGCGAUAGUCGUUUUGAGACAAAAACAUCGCAAAUGCGAUGGAACCAGUACCAGCACUCAAAAAUUAUAUAAAAUCAUUCCGAAACCAAUCCAAAACUCACCUGAGCCUGCGAGGCUCCAAACCAAACACCCACACCAGUCCAAAAACAUAACACGAACUCGCUCGCGUGAUCACAACAUCAGAAUAACAUCUAGAAUCACGAAUCGAAUGCCAAAAUGCAUAGAAAUCUCCAUGAACUUAAAGAACCUCUAGAAUCGCAACCACGCGUCCGAACCAUAUCAAAUAAACUCCAAAUGACGCCAAAUUUUGCAUGCAAGCUCCAUAUGACGAAACGUACCUAUCCAAGUUCUGAAACCAAAAUCCAAACCCGAUAGCCUUAAAGUCAAACCAUGAUCAAACCUAGGAAAAUUUCAAACCUUUAAAUUGCCAAUUUCCGCCAAAUGAUGCUGAAACCAUCUCCAAAUGCAAAUUCGGGCAUACGCCCAAGUCCAAAAACAUCAUCCGGACCUACUAGAACCGUCAAAACUCCGAUCCGAGGUCAAAUACUCAAAGGUCAAAUCUUGGUCAAUUCUUUCAACUUCGAGCUUCUCAAAUGAGAGUCACUCCUUAAAAUCAUUUCAGAACCACUCAAAACCCCGGGUCGAUGAUGCACGCAAGUCAUAAUACACUAGGUGAAGCUACGCAUGACCUAAAACUGCCGAACCGGACGCAAUUGCUCAAAACGACCAGUUGGGUCGUUACACGUUUCCACUCGAUCCAAGAACAACAUGUGUGUUCUAAGUCUCAUCAAUCAUUCUUCAUUGUCAAAAAUAAUAUUCUUGGAUCUCACCCAUUUUUGGGGUGACUCACACAUUUUUAUUUACUUAAAUGCCAUUUAUUGUCAUUCAUUACUAUUUAAUGCUAUCUUUCAUCUUUUUGAAUCAUUGAAUACUGUUAUUAGUGCUCACAUUCACUACCCUUCGGCCAAUAUACAUAUUAUUUGUCAUAAAACUGAUAACCUUAUCUUUUGGAUAUUAUUAUUAGCUAUUAUUGACUCUACUUUACUUAAUUCUAAUUGGUUGAACCAAAAUCUAUAUUUUGGGUCGAACAAUUUGGCGCCGUCUGUGGGGACUUCAUAGUUAAAUUUUUAGUUUCUUUUAGAUCUACAGCUAAUGUGAGUCACUAACCUCACAAACCCCAAGAUCUUUCUCUUUCUUUGCACAUACGGAAACCUACAAGGCAGGUAACCAAAGAGAGAGGACUAAAGUGACAGGUGAUUUCCUUAGCAACCUCAUGAACGCUAUUAACGAGAGCUGUGAAACAUUAGGCAAGGAUGUGACGCCCACUGCCUCCCCCUAGCGCCAGAGGUCGCCUCUCCCCUAUUGUAGUAUAACAAAACUAAACGGAAACUGGCCUCCACGUCCAUAGGAGAAGGGACGCCACCGACCAUGAAAAAGCUCCUCGAAGUAUGGUUGAUCGUUACGCUAGUAAGCAUUCUCAACAAGUCCACUCCAUGCACGACUAAAGAUAUCACAAGAGCCCACAUAGUGCAACGUGCAAACAAAUAUGACGAUCAACCAGACCCUCCAAUGCCAGGUAUAACUCAAAGUGUUACUAACAAUGCAGGUGACAACGUCCUCGCCGCUAUUCUAAAGAGGGUGGAAGAAAUAGAGAGUGAAAAUAAAGCGCCCGGAGAUCAAAUGAAAGAACACCAAGAACAAGUCGACAAGAUACCGGAUGCCCCUAAGCUACUGCCAAAGAGGGACACCGGCAGGUUCAUAGAGCAUCCGUACACCGAGGAAGAAUCCCCGCAUGCCAUACCAAAGACCUUCAAUAUGUUGUCAUAGCUUAGGAUAUACGACGGAACGACUGACCCCGAAGAUCAUGUGACUCAUUAUGUCACCGCCAUGAAAGGCAACGACCUCACCAAUGAACAGGUUUCCUCUAUUUCGAUGAAGAAAUUUGGAAAAACCCUUACGAGAGGGGCAUUAACAUGAUACUCAUAGCUACCAACCUGCUCCAAAGAAACCUUCGAGGAGAUGGCCGAUAAGUUCGUAACGGCGCAUGUCGGAGCCAAAAAAGACGAAACAAGAGUAAGUGACAUAUUUGCCAUAAAGUAGUCCUUAGGAGAGGGACUGAGGGACUUCCUUCGAUCGAUUUAACAGGGUAAGGAUGACCCUACUAAACGUGUCUGAGAGGAUGGCGGUCGCAGCGUUUUAGAAUUGGUUGAGUAGAGAUGGUUCAAGAAUGACUAGAAAACUGCUGAGCCGGUUGAUGAAAUAUCCUUCGACCACUUGGGAUGAAAUCCACAAUGCUUACUGUGCCGAAGUUCAAGCAGAUGAUGACGACCCUAACAGACCAACUCAAUGAUUCUUCUCGGUACAAGCCGAGUCUAGGAAAGAACAGAGAGAUAAUAUAAGGAGGGAUCACCCGAUCUCACGAUCCAACAAGGAGCGACAUCAUCCAUAUGUCAGGGGCCCCGCCCCACCUUCUUUCCACUAUGAUGAAGGCCCAUCCAGGCCAAGAACAGGGACUCAUUGGAAUGAGAGACGUAUGCCUCCCUUAUUAUCUUCUAACAAUUUUUGUGUGUCAUAUAUAGAAAUAGGCUAUGCCCUGGAGAAACUCGGAACGAAGGUGAAGUGGCUGCCAAAGAUGAGGUCUGAUCCGAGCACCAGAAAAUUCGGCGCCCUCUGCGAGUUCCACCAGGAGCGCAGACACAAGAUAGAAGAUUGCAUUGCCCUCAGGCAAGAGGUCGUGAACAUGUUGCAGUAGGGACACCUCAAAGAGCUGCUGAGCGACAAGAGGAGAAACAACUUCGCCAGGGGACGUGAACGCCAAGGACCGCCAAAGCCACCAUCACCAGCUCACACCAUCAACAUGAUUAUCAGCGACAGUAAUGACGCCUCCAUCAACAACGUUAAAUUCACUGCCACUCACAAGUGCAAAAGAUUUUUCACCCACAAACGGUACGACAGACUUGAAGAAAGUAUCAUUUUCGAUGAGUCAGAUGCCUCCGGUUUGACUUUCCCUCACAAUGAUGCUCUCGUCAUUACUUUGUGCAUUUUAGAUACCUAUGUCAAAUGUAUCAUGGUGGACGAUGGGAGUGAAGAGUGAAUUAUCAAUCCCAGAGCCCUCACUCAGAUGAGACUCGAGGACAAGAUAGUGCCGCGCUGCAUCACACUAACCGAUUUUAAUAAUACAGUUAAACGCACAUCGGGAGAAAUUACACUCCCUGUCUUGGCCGCCGACACAACGUUGGAGACGACAUUCCACAUCAUGGAACAGGCCACCGCAUACAAUGCCAUAGUAGGAAGACUAUGGAUACAUCCCAUGAGAAUUGCCCCCUCAAACUUAUACCUAGUAAUUAAAUUUUCAAAACCGUGGGGGAUAGUCAGCAUACAUGGAGAAAAGCGCACGUCCCGGGAAUGCUACCGCAUCGCCAUAGACAACACGAUAACCCAACAGAAAAAAAGACAAGGAAAAAGAGGCAUAGCAAUCAAAAGGGCCGAGGUUGACACAAGAAGAGACCAGGGACGUCAUCAUGGAUCCCAAAAUGGUUGAAGUCGCAGACUCGAAUAUAGAGGACCUCGAACCCAUUCAAUUAGAUCCCAACUACUAUAACAAAAAGUCCUACAUCGACUGCAAACUCCGAGAACUAGGUAAAUUUAGUCAAUUUUUAAUAACUAACGCAGAUUUGUUUGCUUUCAGCCAUGUAGAUAUGUCGGGCAUUCCCAAGGAGAUCGCCACACAUAAACUAAAUGUCGAUCAGUUCUACCCCCUUAGUAAGGCAGGUCAGACAAAAAUUCAAUCCCGCCAUCAACGAUGCCGUCCACAAGGAGGUGGGGAAACUAAUAGAACAUGGCUUCAUCAGGGAGACUAAAUACCCCAAGUGGAUCGCCAACAUAGUGAUGGUCAAAAGGAAAAAUAGAAAAUGGUGGAUGUGUAUAGACUUCACGGACUUGAAAAAAGCAUGCCCGAAGGAUUCGUUCCUGUUACCAAAUAUCGACCAACUCAUCGACAUGACGGUCGGGCAUGAGCUGCUGAGUUUUUUGGACGUGUACUCGGGCUAUAACCAGAUACUUAUGGAAGAAGAGGACCGGGAGAAAACCACGUUCAUCACCCAACGAGGAACAUAUUGUUACAAGGUCAUGCCAUUUGAGCUGAAGAACACAGGGGCUACCUAUCAAAUAUUGGUCACGAAAAUGUUCAAUGAUCAGCUCGGCAAGACCAUGAAGGUAUAUAGCAAUGACAUGUUGGCCAAAUCUGUAAAGGCAGAGGAUCAUAUCGACCAUUUGAAGGAAGCUUUCGACAUAAUGAGCCGGUACAGAAUGAAAUUAAACCCAGAAAAAUGCAUAUUUGGCGUAGCCUCGGGAAAGUUCUUGGGUUUCUUAGUGUCACAACGGGGGAUCGAGGUCAACCCAGAUCAAAUCAAAUCUAUCGAAGGAUACCGGAGCUCCUAACUACCAAGGCAAGUCCAAUCGCCGCCUUAUCGAGAUUCAUCUCACGGCCAUCUGACAGAUGUCACAAUUUUUUUGGCGUACUCAAAAAGGAUAACGGCCUCGAGUGGACGCUCGAGUGCGUACAAGCUCUACCAAAACUAAAGGCAUAUUUGUCAUCACCACCUCUGCUAUCAAAGCCCGAACUCGGGGAACAUCUCCUCGUCUACUUGGCCACCUCCGAAGUGGAAGUAAGUGCAGUCCUGAUACGAGAAAGUAAAGGUACGCAAUCUCCUAUUUAUUAUAUUAGCAGAACACUCGUCGACACCGAGACGAGGUACCCACACCUAGAGAAACUAGCCCUGGCACUUGUCAUAGCUUCAUGAAAGCUUAGACCUUAUUUCCCUUGCCACCCUAUCGCGGUCAUUACCACCUAUCCUCUAAGAGGAAUUUUACAUAAACCCGAAUUAUCGGGGAGACUGGCCAAGUGGGCCAUCGAGCUAAGCGAGCAAAACAUCACAUAUCAGCCGCAAACGGCGAUAAAGUCACAAGUGCUCACCGAUUUCAUCGCAGACUUCAGUGCAAAGAUAAUGCAUGAGGUCGAGAAGAAAGUCGUCCAAGCUUCUCUCCAAACACAAGACCUAUGGGUCCUAUACACCGAUAAUGCAUCUAACGCUUCCAGACUAGGACUCACACUUGAGGUCCCUACAGGAGAAGUAAUUCGCCAAUCCAUAAGAUGCCCAAACAUGACUAACAACGAGGCUGAGUAUGAGGCCGUAAUUGCAGGAUUGAGGUUGGCACUCAAGCAUGGGGCGAAACGGUUAAAACCCUGUUGUGAUUUCCAACUCGUAGUCAACCAAGUCACUAGGACUUUCGAAAUCAAAGAACAAAGGUUGCAAAAAUACUUGACCGAGAUUAGUAAGUUGUUUCCCAAGUUCGACGAAUGUCAGCUCGACUAGAUCUCGCGUGGAUAGCAUAUUGAAGUGACGGCCUCGCCAAAUUAUCCGCAACCACCAAAAGCAUCACGACCGGGGAUAAAAGUGUAGUCCACCUCCUCAACUCAUCUCUAGACCAAACCGAGGUAAGAUCAGUAAGCUUAACUUAGGAUUGGCGCAAUCAUAUUAUCGCCUACUUACAGGACGUCACACUCCCAAUCGACAAAAAGGAAGCCAUAAAAAUAAGAAUGCAAGCAGCCAGAUGCAAUCGCCUCCAUAGCGACCUACACAAAAUGACAUACGGUGGCCCUCAGGAAAAAUGUUUGGGCCCAAACCAAACCCAGCGCGUCCUCGAUGAAGUUCAUGAAGGUCAUUGCGGCGCUCACUUCGGCAAUCGAGCACUCGUUAGGUAUCUCAUAUGGGCAGGAUACUAUUGGCCCACUAUGAAAAAGGAUGCCUCAGAAUUCGUGAGAAAUACGAACAAUGUCAGAAAGCAGCAAGCAGAACAUUACUACAACAAGAAAGUAAAGGUCCGUCCGCUCAAAGUCCGGGACUAUGUACUCAAAGCCAAAACUCAAGCAAGAAAAGACCCACGGGAAGGCAAACUAGGAACAAACUGGGACAACCCAUACAAAAUAACAACCAAAACAAACAAGGGUUCAUUCCAAUUAGAGAUGAUGGAAGGAAAACAAUUACCAAACAAUUGGAACAUCAGCCACCUCAAAUACUUCAACUUCUAAAGGGAAUAAGCGCCCCCAAGUAGUACUCUUUUUCCCUUACUUGAGUUUUUUCCCAUUAGGGUUUUCUCAAGGAGGUUUUUAACGAGGCGAUGAAAGGGACACUUCGAUUCAAAUUAUGCAAAGCAAGGGAUGUUUUCUCUUUCAUUGCCCGACUCCUCAAUACUCUCCAAUCAUGUAAUCAGAACAACAAUGUCAAAGUAAUAGAAAUUCAAGUUUAUCAAAACCGCCCUAACAAAAGAUUAGGUUAGAUCAGCUCGAACAAACAACUAUCGACCCUCGGCCGUAUCGUAACAAAGGUUAUGUUCGACCUAGCUCGAACAAAAACCUAUCGGCCCUUGACCGCAUCUUAACAAAGGUUAAGUUCGACCCAGCUCGAACAAACACCUAUAGUCCCUCGACCGCAUCGUAACAAAAGUGAAGUUCGACCUAGCUCGAACAAACACCUAUUGGCCCUCAGCCGCAUCAUAACAAAGAUUAAGUUCGAUCCAGCUCGAACAAACAUCUAUCGGCCCUUGACCGCAUCUUAACAAAGGUUAAGUUCAACCCAGCUCGAACAAACACACAUCGGCCCUCGGCCACACCUUAACAAGGGUUAAGUUCGACCCAGCUCAAAUAAUACCUAUAUUUAACAAAAGGUUAAAAAUAGACCAAGUUCGAACAACACCUACCGGCCCUCGGCCGCGAUUUAACAAGAGGUUAAAAUUCGACCAAGUUCAAAUGACAUCUAUCGGCCCUCGUCCAUGUUUCAAUAGAAGGUUAAACUUAACCAAACGAGAAACUAAGUUCGACCAAGUCCAAACCUAACUGAUCGAUCCUCAGGCAUACUCGAUCUGUACGGACAAUGGGGGUAUCUAGCCCAUAGAUAUUCAACCCGAAUCAUGGAGACAUCAAAAGUAUGAAGGAGCAAAAUGCACAAAGUACAAAAACAAAUCAUGGCAGAUAAGAAAGGCAUAGAUGAAAACAAAAACCAACUUUGAUAUGAAUAGACAAAGGUUUCUUACAAUGGAUCUUGAAGACGCCAGCAAAAAUACACAAAAUUAUAAAAAACAAACUACUGCUGGCCAUCGCCAUCACGGCCCACACCAUCCUCACCGGUCCGGUCUUCAACAUUGUCACCUCCCCGAUCUUCAGCAUCCUCUCCAUCCUCGCCCGGAAGAAUGGGAAUGGAGUAGGGAAACUGAGUAAGGAAAGGAAGUUUAGAAAAGAAAAUGGCAAGAAGAACGAUGGUGCUCUGGAAAGUUAGAAGAAACAAACUUCAAACUAAAGUCCAAAAAACUCUAUUUAUAGAGAUCGUGGCACUAAACUCGAAAAUGGCUCAUCAUAAUUAGCACCGGAAUCGAAACGGCAGAUCCAAUCAAGGGUCACGCACGAAUCAAUGCAACGUAUCGGGAAUAUGCAUCAUAAUAAUGCAUGAUGUCAUGACGUCAUUCUAUUCCUUGGACAGGAUAACUCCAACAAAUCACCCAUGAAACUUGUGGUAUUUGAAAUAUGCGGCUCACAUGGGGGGCACGUGGCAUGUUCGACACAACGAUUACGACUCUUGCAGCCUACUCGAUAAGUUCGACCGAAAAUGACAUUAUCCGCUCAUUAAGCUCACCCGCGAGGACGACCUCAAUAAGCAGAGUGACUAAAUGUAUAAGUCAAAAAUUAUCUCUAAUAUGAUCAAACCAUGUUAACAUUAAUGAGGCAUUCACAGACUGCCAUGUGUCACCAAUAUGACUUCAAUAAAGACUUGCCCAAGGUCGAAGUGGUUCUAGAAAUGAUGAAGGUCGCGGUCGAAGAAUCAGCAAUGAUCAAAGUCGAGAAGUCGUCGUAGAUCAAGGUCGAGGUUGAGUAUCCUAGACAGAGUUAUAACGACUAGUUUCAAGAUAGGACGCUAAAGAGAAUAUUCUAGUAGAUAUUCUCUGCACUUGUACUAUUAGAGUUUCUAGGAAUAUGUUCCCUAUAAAUAAAAAGAGACACAAUGAUAGGGGACAUGAGAUAUUUAUUUGUAAAAAACACAUUGACUUUAUAGAGUGAAUCUGAUCAUAUUGCAAGCAUACAAAAAUAACCUUUUUACUAAGAUUCUUGUCUAACUUUUCCACUAGAUCCAAGAACCUGAGUGUUCUAUGGCUCAUCAAUCAUUCUUCAUUGUCAGAAAGAAUAUUCAUGUAUCUCACUCAUUUUCGGGUGACUCACACUUUUUUAUUUACUUAAAUGUUAUUUAUAUCUGUUCAUUAUUAUCUAGUGUUGUCUUCCAUCUUUUUGAAUCAUUGAAUACUGUUAUUAGUGCUCACAUUCACUACCAUUCGGUCAAUAUAUAUAUUAUCUGUCAUAAAACCGAUAAUCUUAUCUUUUGGAUAUUACUAUUAGCUAAGAUUGACUCUUCUUUACUUAAAUCUAAUUGGUUGAAUCGAGAUGUAUAUUUUGGGUAGAAUAAGAUAAAGAUUGGGUGAGUCGAUAUUCGCCCCAAUUUUGAAUUGCAUCGUUAUUGGUAGGCCAAAGGCUAAAGCCAAAUUAUAGUCAUCGAAUUGAUCAAGUUAAGAGGUUAGUGAACAUAGUUAUUUAUUACAUAGAUUACGAAUAAUUGAAACGUCAUUGGACACGUGCAUUCUACCACACGUUUUGAAUGUUUUCUAGUGCAUAAAUAACUAAAUAAGUUUUUGUUUACUUAGCACGCGAAUAAGGUUUUGGAUUGGAAACCCAAAGUCGGAUUUGAUUCUUGCACAUAAAGAAAUGGCUAAAGCCUAGAUGAACUCAACAAAAGUCUGAGUAAGAGAAUUAUGUACAAAAUACAAAUUAUGACGUUGUAAUUGAACAUGUACAUAAUACAAAUUAGGACGUUGUAAUUAACCUAUACAAAAUUUAUGUUGAAUUAUGAAAGUGAACUACUUAUCACAUGCCUUCACAAGAAAAUGCACAACACUUGCACUCAAAAAAAAAAUGCACAUAACUUGCACAUCGCUUACAAAAUGGACGGAAAAUUGAUUAAGUAUAUAUCUACCCCUAACAAACUACUCAACUAUACAUUUAGACCAACAAAAAAUUAGACUUAUCAUAUAUGAAAUUACUCAAAGUACUUAUAUAAAAAUAAUAAAGGACCAAAUAUGCUAAAUAUCUCAACAACUAUUCAAGCUCUUCCGUGUAUAAGCACUAACAACUUUCAAUUUACUACUAUUUUUUUAAAAUCAGGCCUACGAUUAUUAAUGUUUACAAGAGGAAUUCAGUCGAGCAGUUCUCACCAAGGCCAUACCUAGUCAUAUUCCCUUAUUGUGGUAAUAGAGUUUUGUAUGGACUUCCAUAUGUCUAGCCUCACAGGAUCCAUGUCUUGACGACUCGUUUAGUGGGGCUCGCCAUUGAGAUAAUAUUUAUAAUUAUAUUCAGAAUUGUUAUCCUAAAUUAUUAUAUUUUUAUCAGUUUUUUAUUUAAAUUAUUCGGUAUCUUCAAAACUCUGAUGAACUAUAUCCUGUCAGUUAUUAAAAAACAUCUCUUGAUAUUUUUUGUAAAAUGUGUGAGAUAACUCAUCUAAAGACAUGUGGAAGAUAAAACUAUCCAUAAAAAUGGUCCCGCUGGCAUACUCUAACUGCUAAUUAAUUAGUGUUAUAAAAUUCCAUUUCUUUUCCACUUCUAUUUUCUUUGUAUUCUCGAUUUUUUCAUUAUUUUUUCAUCAUUCUUAUUCUUUUUUUACCUUUCUUCUUCCUUUAUCCAGAUUCCACCCGAAACUUUUAUUUCUUCUUAAAUUACUUUUCUCCUUCAUUUUUUUUUUUAUUUCUCCAAAAUUUCUCUUUUUUUCAAACCCUAGAUUUUUUUAAUCCCAAAUCCCGUACUAAACCAAAAUCUACAGUGAAAUCGAAGGUUAAUGUGAAAAAUAAGAUUGAAUUGAGGUUUAAUGGCAGAAAUCCAGAUUAAUGGCUUUUACCCAUUUUUUAUUUUUUAUUAUUAGUUCAAGUCUUUAAUUAAAUUGAUAAUUAAAUUAGGCUUAAUUAAUUAGCCACGUGUCUUAAACUUGGUAUAUUUAAAGCUAAUUAGAAGCAUGCAUUAUACUCAAUAGUAAAAAUUCGACGAUGAAUUUUUAAUAAUUAAGAAGAUAUAGUUCGGGGGUUUUAAAGACACAAGAUAAUUUAAGUAAGAAACUGACAAAAAUAUAAUAGUUUAUAGUGGUUUUCGGAUAUUAACUUUUAUAUUUACACUGUACUCAGAAAGGAAUAAAAGGAUGAAAAUUUUCCUUUGUUAGGUGAAAUCGCCUUCAUGUUUUCACUUGCCUUAACAGUGAUUCAUACUCACAAAAAACGGUCUGGCAUUGUGGAUAGUAUUCGCGUAGUGACAAAUGUUUGCUUCUCCUAUGAUCAACCUGCUAGAUAGAAUUACUCGAUAUCUUAUCUAGGAAAAUUAAAUUAGGAUUCAGUGAGGAUGAUAUAAAAUAGAAUAUAAGUUUAUAAUCUAUUUAAAAUUGGCGAAAACUUUUAGCGUACCUAUGACACGCUGAUGCUAGAACACCGGUGCUUGCUUGUAACGACCCAAUCGGACGUUUUGAGUAUUUGCACUUCGCUCGGUAGUUUACGGGUAUGAGUAGAUUCAUAUGAUGUAUUAUGACUUAUGUGAAUCGUCGGUUUUGGUUUUCAGGUUAUUCGGAAUCGAACUGGAAGAAUGGAUUUCAUGGUUUGAAGUUUUAAAUUGAAAAAGUUGAUCAAGUUUUACUUUCUUGUGAAUUUAAACCCGGAAUGGAGUUUUGAUGGUUCCGAUAGCUCCGUAUGAUGAUUUUGGACUUAGGAGCGUGUCCGAAAGAUUUUUUGGAGAUCCUUAGUGGAUUUUGGCUUGAAAUGGCGAAAGUUGAAUUUUUGGGAAGUUUGACAGGGGGUUGACUUUUUGAUAUCGGGGUCUGAAUCCGAUUAUGAAAAUUAGAAUAGCUCUGUUAUGUCAUUUAUGACUUGUGUGCAAAAUUUAAAGCCAUUCCGGAUUGAUUUACUAUGUUUCGGCACGAGUUAUUGAAUUUGAAAGUUCAAAGUUCAUAGAUUCGAUUUGAGGUGUGAUUCGUCGUGUUGAUAUUGUUAUGUGUGUUUCGAGACCUCGAAUAGGUCCGUAUUGUAUCAAGGAACUUGUUGGCAUGUUCGGACGGGAUCCCGAGGGGCUCAGGUGAAUUUCAGACGAGGUUAGGAUCAUUUCAUUGAAUUUUUGGAUUUUUGCUAAGCUGCUAGUUCUGGUAUGACCGCACAUGCGGUUGGUUUGCACAGGUGCGAUGGUCGCAGAAGCGACAAUGGAGUCGCAGGAACGGAGGUGUUUCUGGGAGCAGGAGUCCGCAGAAGCGGAGGAUUCAUUCGCAUUUGCGAAGGCGCAGAUACGGUGUGAAAGGGCGCAGGAGCGAACGUCAGCGCAAGAGCGCAAUUUGGACUCGCACCUGCGUGUGCGCAGCAGCAGAGUUUCUACCAUAGGUGAGAAGGCAGACCUCCAGUGCUUCUCCGUAGAAGCGUGUUUUUGGUCGCAAAAGCGACGCCGCAGAAGUGGCUAAUGUGUAGCAGGUGCGAGAAUACUGGGCAGAAUGCUUUAAAUUGAGGCUUUGGUUCUUUUAUCAUAUUUUGAGAUGUGGGACUCAGAUUGAGGCGAUGUUUAGAGCAAUCUUCAUCACAAGGAUUGGGGUAAGUGUUCUACACUUAUUCUUUUUCGUAUUUCAUGAAUCUAUCUUCAUUUUUUGGAAUUGAUUGAUGAAUCUUAAAGAGAAAUUGAGGGUUUUAGCCUAAAGUUUCAUAAUAUGAAUUUUUAAGUUUUGAAUAUCAAAUUGGAGUCGGAUUUGAGUGAAACUAGUAUGGUUGAACUCGUAAUUGAAUGGGUUGUUGGAUUUUGUAAAUUUUGUCAGUUUCGAGGUGCGGUCCCGGGUUGUGCUUUUGGCCGAUUUUGGGCUUUUGAUUCAAGAUUUAAUCUUUUUCAAUCGGGAUUAGUUCCUUUAGCAUUGUUUGAUGUACUUGAGUUGUUUUUGUUAGUUUCGAGCCGUUCAGAGGUCGGAACGCAUGAGAUGGUAUCUUUGGAGCAUCACUUGGAUUUCUCAACAUUAGUAUUGACUUGUUCGAGGUAAGUAACUCUUCUAAUCUUGGAGCUGAGGGUAUGAAACCCCGAAAUACGUGUUAUGUAAUUGGUAUUGAGGUGACGCACAUGCUAGGUGACGGGCGUGUGGGCAUGUACCAUGGGAAUUGAGACUCUGUUGUUUCCAUAACACUAUAUAGUGGUCCUACUUUGUUGAGGUCCGUGUUUUCACCAUGUGAUAAAGUAAUUGAGCCGUCAAUUAUGCUAAAUAUCAUGUUUAGGCUUUAUGACGAUACUGCUAGGACCCACAAUGGUCAUUUUUUUGCUGUCAUUUCAUUGAUAUUUUGUACUCAGUUAUAUUCAUACAUUCAUAUCAUAUCUCAGUCUCAGUUGUUAUUUAUAGAUACAUCAGAUCAUUAUUGUCGGGCUAGUCUCAUGACAUUGGUGAGACUGGAGAUAUUGAUGACUGAGUGAUGUCGGGGGCCUGUUUGUGAGGAUAUUGAUACUAUAGCACAUGAGUUGUCUGUGCAGCAUGUGAGUUGUCUGUGCAGAUCCAGAUAUUGAUACUAUAUCACGUGAGUUGUCGGUGCAGCACGUGAGUUAUCCGUUCGGAUCCAAAUAUUGAUAUUAUAGCACGUGAGUUAUCCGUGUAGCACGUGAAUUAUCCGUGCGGAUCCAGAUAUUGAUAUUAUGGCACGUAAGUUGUCCGUGCAGCACGUAAGUUGUCCGUGCGGAUUAUAGCACUUGGGUUAUAGGAGCCCCUCCAGAGUCUGCACACCCCCAGUGAGCGCAGUUGAUUAUAUAUAUGUGGAUCGGACUGCAUGCCACAGCAGAAAUUGUACAGUGCUGGGUGAUUGAGUGUGUUGAUCAUUGAGCAUAGGCAGAGGGAAUGCUAGACAGUGAGAUUGAUUACUCUGCGAGUGUGAGUACAUGAACUCAUCAUUGAGAUGCAUUGCAUUUAACAAGCGUACUUGAGAUACAUGCAUAGAGAUGCAUUUCCUUCUGCUACCGGGUUUUGGUGCCAUUUAUGACUUUACCUGUAUCUUGACAUGUAGGCAUAGAGACGUACUUUGCUCAUGCUAUCUGAAAAUGAAACAUCUUACUUGUUAUUGAAAGGAGUUUUGGGAAAAAUAAAAGUUUUCAAACUUACUCGUAUUUUGGCAUUUUUGGUAAAAGAUUUGGGUUUUCAUUGAGAUACUUGAAAAGUAAUACCUAUUUUUCUGGAACUGUGAACGAACUGGGCAUUUUAUUUCUAAGAUACCUCUUUUGUUAUGUGUACUAUGUUUUUAUGAACUGUUGUGGAAUAUUAGUGUUGGACCCGACCUUUGUGUUAGCUCGUCACUACUUUCAACCUAAGGUUAGGUUUGUUACUUAUUGAGUACGUGGGGUCGGUUGUACUCAUACUAUACUUCUGCACCUUGCGUGCAGAUGUUGGCUACUGAUAUUGAUGUGUUCGAUAUGAGCUGGAUUUGAAGUUGUACCUGUGUCCCGGUUGUAGCUGCCUCUUGUUCAUGAUAGCCUUAGGUCUAUAAAACUCUGUUAAUGUAUUAUUUUUCAAACAGAUGAUGUAUUUACUUUAUUUCAGCUUUGUAAACUCUAUUCUUAGAAGCUCAUGAUUUGUACUACCAGUCCUUGGAGAAUGUAUCAGAUUCAGAUAUUUGUUUACUUAAUUGCUUAUUUAAUUGUUAUUGGAAUUAGUUAGUGGUUAAUUGGCUUACCUAAUGGGUUGGGUUAUGUGCCAUCACGACUAGUCAGAUUUUGGGUCAUGACAUUGCUGCUCUUGUCAACACGGGAAUGAUUCUGAAGCUCUCACUUUCUCUGAAAACUGUUUCAUCGUAGAACGGUUAUACGUAAAUUAGCUCAAAGUUAUUAACAAAAUGUAUAGAAAAUGUAUGUAAUUGUAACGACCCGACCGGUCGUUUCGAGUAUUACAACCCUGUCUUCCCAUUUACUGCUCAAAUUGUGCUUUACGGUUAUUAUUUGACUUUUCGAGGUAAUUGAUUCGGGUCCGGUGAGAAUUUGGAAUGAUUUAGAAUACUUAGUUCCAAGGUUUAGAACUUAAGUUGAAAAGUUUGGCCGGACGUUGACUUAUGUGUAGCGACCCCGGAAAAGUCUUGCUAAGAAAAUUAAGGUUUCAUGGUGCCGAAGUAGGUUUACGUGUUUGAGAAUGCGUCGGGGAAUAAAGAAUUUUUUUGCCGAAAAAAGUCAUUUUUGCGGCCCACUAUGUGGACCGCAUAAUGGCCGCAGAGUGAAUCAGAGGUGGGGCAAGUUUGGAGGAAGGUCGGCGGCACAUUAUGCGACCGCAGACCAGUUCUGCGGUGCAUUAUGCUAUUGCAGAAUAGGUCUGCGGACCGCAUAAUGGCUGCAGACUGAAAUAAUGUUGCCUUUUUCCGGAGGGCCUUUUUGCGACCGAUUAUGCGGGCCGCAUUACGAUUAUGCGGUACGGUCUGCGAUAGCAGACCCGAUUUCGGCAAGUUUAAGUUUUAAAAAUUUUACCCGAUCCUAUUUUUAUAAAAAGGUAUUGGGGGUCAUUUUGAAGAGUUUUAUCUGAUAUUUUAGAGAGAGGUGAGAGCAUCUUUGAGAGAGAGAAAGUGAAGACCUAGUCAUUUGUCCAUCAAUUCUUGUUCAAGGUUUAAAAUUUUCAUAAGGAUCUUGCUAGGAUUUCAAAGAGGUAAGAAUUUCUAACCCUAGUCUUCAAUUUCACGUUUGGGUAAAGAUGGGUGAUUAGGAGUAGGAUUCUUGGGUGUGAGAGUAUUAUUUAUACAUACACGUACCAAUAAGAUUUGUGGAAAAAUUAUUGAGUUCAAAUGGGUAAAGAUUGGGUUGAAAAUGGUAGAAAUCUUCAAAGACUUUAAUUGAAGAUUUGAGGGUCGAGUUGAUGUCGUAAUUUGGUGAAAUUUGUAUGGUUGGAAUCGUGGUUGGAUGAGCAUUCAUAGUUUGUAAUUUUUGUCGGGUUCCGAGACGUGAGCCCCACGGGCAAUUUUUGAGUGCAAUUUCGGAUUUUAUUGGAAAAUUAGUAUUUUCAUAUGAAAUUGAUUCCAAUAAUUUAUUUUGACUGAAUCAAAUUAUUUGUGGCAAUAUUCAAGGCGUUUGGAGGCCGAUUUGCGAGGCAAAGGAAUUGCAGAAUAAAGAAUUAGACAGUUUGAGGUAAGUAACAGUUCUAAAUUUGGUCCUGAGGGUAUGAAACCCUAGAUUAUGUGUUAUGUGAUUGGUUUUGAGGUGACGAGCGUGUGGGCAUGCACCGUAGAAAUUGUGACUUGGUCAAUUCAAUGGAACUGUGUAGUUGAAUGACCUGUUGAUAUCCGUACAAUUUCUAUGUGUUAGAAAAAUUGAGAUGAGACUCGUAUUAAAAAUAAUGCUUAGGCAUAUGCUGUUAUUAUUGGUACCCAUUGGGGUCAUUUCUACGAUUGAAUUAUAUGUUCAAAUUGUAAUUUCACACUCAGUCAUGUUCAUUCAUUUCAUAUCAUAUCUUAGUCUCUAUUGCUAUUUAUUGAUACAUCAUAUUAUCAUUUUUUGGCUGAUUUUAAUGACGUUUUGAUCCCGAGAGACUCGAGAGGUUAAUGACUGAGUGAGGCCGAGGGCCUGAUUGUGAGGAUAUUUAUGGGAUCGGACUGCACGCCACAGUAUGAUUCAUUGAUGUAUGCCAUGAUUGGCUUGUUAUAGCGCUUGGGUUGAAGGAGCCACUCCGGAGUCUGUACACACCCCUAGUGAGCGCAGGUACCUACUGAGUGCGAGUGCCGUGUGCUGAGUGAUUGAGAGGAAUGAGUGAUUGUGAGGAAAGAGUGAUUAUGAGGAUGGAGUGAAUGGGAGGACUGGCUGACUGCUGCUCUAAGAGGAUGCAUUGAUUUUAUUGUUGUUACACUUCAGCUGUCAUAUAUCACUAUUUUGGAAAUUUCUUAAAGAUAUUAUCUCCUUUUUCAGUCGAACUUGAUAUGAAAUUACUGUUGAGUUUUAAAUGGGAAGCAUGAAAGCAUACCUAUCUUCUUAUGUUGGAAAUUUCUGUAAUUGGACUUAGCAGUGAAGCUCGUCACUAUCUUCAGCUCUUUAUUUAGUAUUGUUACUUGCUGAGUUGGUUGUACUCACACUACAACCUGCACCUUGUGUACAGAUCCAGGUACUUCGGGACAAGGCGAUUGCUAGUUUUUCGAAGGUUUUUCCGUUGGAGACUAUCGAGGUAGUUGAUUGACGUCCGCAAAGCUUGACUCUCUUUCCUUUUAGUUUUUGUAUUGUUCUAUAUUUUUAGACAGUGUUUUAUCAGUCAGACAUUGCUAUCAUUUAGAUGCUCAUGUACUCAGUGACACCGGAUUUUGGGUGUGUUUGUAUCGGUAUUUGCGAGAUUUUUGUGUUGUAUUUAAAUAUUAUGUUUUCAAACUUAAAGGAAAUCGUGAUUUAUUGAGGUUGUCGGCUUGCCUAGUAUUAAGAUAGGCGCCAUCACAACAGGUGUAAUUUUUGGAUCGUGACAGUAAAAGAAAAAUCUUUUGAUGUAUUUCACUUCAUCUUCCGGUCUCUGUAUGUCAGGACGUGUAGGAUCACUAGCAGCAAACUCCAUGUAUGACAGAUGAUGAAAGUUAGUUCAAAGCGACUUGGAAGAUAAAUGCAUCUGCAUAUAGAAGUGUAGGAAAUAGGAAAAUAGAAGGUCAACUAUAAAAACAUUUAUAUGAGUAGUCUUUGUCAAGUUUUAGUACUUCUGUUAAAAACUAGAAAGUGAAAUUUACACAUACUGUAUAUACAAUAAAUGAUUCUUUGGAUACUUGGAUUUCUUACACUAUCAAGCUGGUCCUCAAGAAAUGGAGGAGGGAGUUUAGGUAUUCUAUCACAUUUGGACUUCCUAAGAUCAUGUUAAGGAGAAAAUAUCUAAUGUGUUGACAUUUCUANNNNNNNNNNNNNNNNNNAAAAUAUAAACUGUGUUAAAGUCACCAUAUUAGCGCUACGAUCUUCCAAAAUUGGACCAGAAGGGUGAAAUAGUACUUAUACUUGACGGAAUGAAUUUUCAAGUAUUCUAUAUACCCGCACAUUUUAAAUUGUUUGAGGUAUAUUUGGACUUUUAUACUUAUUUAUGACACGAACUCACAAAACAUGCACGUGGAAAAUGCACACCACGUGCACUCACCAAAAAUGCACAAAACAUGCACAUCACUCACGAAAAAUGCACAACAAUCUAGCUGGAGGAAACAUCUGAAUUUUCAUAUAUGCCAUUUUGCUGCCAGGCUGAUUUCGCUAGAUACCAGAAUAAAUCAAGGUAGAAGAGAAAGUAAAUGGCACCGAGCACGCUGCAUACUAAUAUGAAACCAAUAAUAUAAGUUUAUGAAAUUAUAGUCUCCCAAAAUUGUAUGGGGUAAAAUAUGAUAUGUUACGUGUCCGUUUGAGAAGAGGACAUAUGGAGUCGAAACCGGGAGGAAUGUAAAAUAGGGCACAAUCAUCUCGUGUGUCGCCGAAAAGGGGCAAUUCCGUAAAGGGAUUGAGCAUGCUGCGCCCGGUGCUAUUUACUGAAGAAUAUUCCACAGCAUUAAAGAGUAACGACUCAUUAAUAAGAUCUGAGCAUCUAUGUUUACCGUUAAUUUUUAUUAUCACAUUCCAAUAAUUGUCAUUAGUGGUGGGCCCGACCAUUACGCCCACUGAGCUAUAAAUAAUAGGUUCAACCAUCGUUGUAAGAGAUCCUUGGGAGAAGACAUUCUAUAGAACAAUCUAAUUCCUUUUUCUCUCUCGCUCGCUUGUGAAUCUUAUCAUCACUGUGUCCGGAAACCUUGUUCUCGGGCUCUUUGAAUCUAUCAUUCCAUCUACAUUUUGAGCUAAGUAUCUUACAUGUAAAUCGAUUAAUUCAUGAUCUUUGGAAUCUAAUUGACUCAUCUGUCUAGAAACUAAGAACAAAUUUAGUUGUACCGAUUUACGGGUAAACAGUUUGGCGCCAACCGUGGGGCUUAGACAAUCGUGUGGUUAAGUUAAUUCUUACUUUUCUCACUCACAAGCUUUGAUCAUUCUUGUCUUAGCAAGAUCACAAAAAUGGCAAUCGAUACCAUCAACAACCCUCACGGUCCUGUAGUUCAAGGGGAAAACCCUCAUCUAAAGGACUCAAUCAGCGACACUCGCAAUGAAGGAGAAGAUGCCAUGCCGAUGUAUGAUAGGCUAUACCCUAGACAAGUACGGGAGGUGACUCCAGAUGAUGCUGACCAAGAGCACGUAGCAGAUGUGGUAAGGAUCCUGCAAAAAUAACAUGCAAUCAUUCUAGACCACCUCACGCGGCAGGAUCAGGCGAUGACAGAGUUAAAACAUGCACUAUCAGGCGCUUCAAAUAAUGCAAACGGGCGAGAUACAGUUCCUCCCGCUGUUCCUACAAACCAAACAAUGCAGAGAAUCGGCAACAACACUCCCAGGAGUGAAGCUGGCUCCGACGGGGCUGGGGGUAGCAGAUAUGGCCUCAACAAUGAUGACGAUCCAUUCAAGGAGGAAAUCUUGCGGUUCAUGAAGGAAGUAAACGCCCGGAUGGAUCAAAUCCCGGGCGCUCCCCCGGUGUUGAAAGGCCCAAGCUCGAAAAGGUACAUCCAAUUUCCGUACAAGCUGAAUGCAGCCCCGAAACCGAUACCAAAACGAUUCAGAAUGUCUGAAGUGCCAAAAUACGAUGGGACCUCAAAUCCACAGAAAAUGAUCUGGUUCCUCACGAAAUCGAGUCCGUGCUAUUGAAACAAUUUGGGGAGACUCUUACAAGGGGAGCCUUGACAUGGUACUUAUUAUUUCCAAAGCAUUCCAUAGAUUCCUUUGAAAUGCUCGCGGAUUUAUUCAUCAGGGCCCAUGCCGGUGCUAGGAAGGUACAAGCCCGGAAGGCCAACAUAUUCAGGGUCGCACAGGGAGAGUCUGAAUUAUUACAGAGAUUCGUUAGCCGUUUCCAAAGAGAAAGUAUGUUGUUACCGCUUGUACCAGACGAAUGGGCGGCUGAAGCGUUCACAAAGGGCUUAAAUCCGAGAAGCUCAGAUGCUUCCCAAAAGUUGAAGGAAAGUCUACUCGAGUUUCAUGCAACAACUUGGGCAGAUGUCCACAAUCGGUACGAGUCAAAGAUAAGGAUCGAAGAUGAUCAGGUAGACUUCCCAUCAUCAGUAAAAGGAUGGGAGAAGAAUAAGGAAAAAAUGAGAGAUGAUGUCGACUCAAAUAGACGAGGUCCAAGAGGGUGGUUCCUACCUUACGAGCAGACAGAAGGUCACAGCAGGAGCUUCCGGUCGGUGGACAAGUUUAUCAGUGACAGGAGAACUGAUCGCGGGAGGAAUAACAGACCGCUGCAGGAUAGAGAGACCCCGGGGCCACAAGAUCCUUCCUAUCCAAAGUUAUCAGAAUAUAACUUCAACAUCAGUAUGGUAGAGUUAGUGACGGCCAUGAAAGACAUCCAAGAGGUGCGGUUCCCGAGGCUAAUGAGGUCCGAUCCUGGCUAGAGGGACCCAAAAUUAUGGUGUGAAUAUCAUGGCUCUAAUGGCCACAGGACCGGGGACUGCCGACACCUCCGAGAAGAAGUGGCAACGCUGUUAAAGAACGGAUACCUCAGGGAAUUCAUAAGUGCUCGGGCCAAAAAUAAUUAUGGUCGGGAUAGGGACAACGCACAAACUCCGAGAGCAAGAUAGGAACCUCUAUGCCAAACGAUCAACAUGAUCUUCGGAGGGAAUGAGGUUAACGGAAUAACCUUCUCGGCCGCAAAAAUGACAAGAGUAUCGACAACUCAAAGUAAGAGGUUCCGAGAGGACGAUAUUUACGUUCAUGGAUGAAGACGCAGACGGAUUACUACAGCCACGCAAUGGUAAUUUCUUUAAAUGUGUUAAAUUUCAAAAUUAAGCGUGUUUUAGUGGAUCUAGGAAGUUUCGUCAAUAUCGUUCAAUGGAGAGUUCUAGACCAAGCUAAACUCACCGGGAGCAUCAUCCAAACAACAAAGCUCCUAGCUGUAUUCAACCUCGCAAGCAUGACAACCCGAUGGGAGAUUUUGUUGCUUACAGAUGCCGAGGGCCUAACAAUGACGGCUCUCUUCGAAGUAGUAGAUAGGACAUGGGAUAUAAUAUCAUCAUGGGAAGGACAUGGUUGUACGAGAUGAAAGUUGUGCCUUCAACGUACCACCAAUUGCUGAAAUUUCCAACACCGGAGGGGAUCAAGUGGAUAAUAGGUGAUCAACAAGUGGAUAGGGAGAUGAAUGCAAUCUCGGUCUCCCAUAGCAGGGGAAAAGAACCUGCGUCAUAGUAGUUACCGGAGCCAACUUCCGACCACGAACUAGAAGAAAUUUCCCCGAGCACAAAAGAGUCGAAGCAACAUCAUGUACCGAGGUAUUUUCACGUACCGGAAGAAACGAACGCAAUGAAAUCCACGGCAGAAGAGCUAGAGCAGGUUACACUAUUCGAAAAAUUCUCGGAAAGGAUAUUUUAUUUGGGGACAGGACUACACCCGGAACUCUGGUCAGAAUGUAUCGAAUUCCUUAAAAUUAUCGCCGAUUGCUUUGCAUGGUCGUACGAGGAUAUGAUAGGAAUCAAGACAAAGAUAGCCGUACAAAAGUUAAGCUUGGACCCGAGCAUCCCUCCGGUAAGGCAAAAGAAGCGUCCUAUUGCAGAAGCAAGGAAUAAAUUCAUCAUAGAAGAGGUAACUCGCCUACUUAAGAUUGGUUCAAUCCGAGAGGUAAGAUACCCCGACUGGCUAGCUAAUGUAGUAGUAGUUUCUAAGAAAAAUAAUAAACUUCGCAUGUGCGUAGAUUAUAAAGAUAUUAAUAAAGCAUGACCGAAAGAUUCGUUCCCAUUACCAAAUAUCGAUCAAAUGAUCGACGCUACGACCGGGCACGAGUUAGUGAGUUUCCUCGAUGCCUAUUCCGGGUACAAUCAGAUUAAAAUGAACCCGGAAGACCGGGAAAAGACUUCGUUUAUUACAAAUUUUGGUACUUACUGUUACAAUGUAAUGCCCUUCGAACUAAAAAGCAUCGGAGCCACUUAUCAGCGGCUCGUAAAUAAGAUGUUUGAAAAACAAAUUAGAAAAACUAUGGAAGUAUAUAUAGACGAUAUGCUCGUUAAGUCACUAGAUGUAGGUAGCCACCUGAAACACCUGCAAGAAACGUUUGACACACUGAGGGAGCAUAAUAUGAAGCUUAACCCCGAGAAGUGUACGUUCGGGAUUGGUUCAGGAAAGAUCUUAGGAUUCCUAGUCUCACAAAGAGGAAUCGAGUUGAAUCCCGACAAAAUCAAAGCCAUAGAGGAUAUCCAGGAUCAACUAUUGAACGUAAAGGAAGUACAGAGACUCACAUGCAUAUUGGCGGCUCUAAGCAGAUUCAUUUUUCGAUCAUCGGAAAAGUGUCACCGCUUCUUCGCAUUGCUCAAAAAGAAGAAUAACUUCGAUUGAACGCCGGAAUGUCGACAAGCCUCGAAGGAAAAAAUACUUGUCGAGCCUUCCUUUACUCUCGAAGCCUAAAGAAGGAGAAACAUUGUUGGUCUACCUGGCGGUCUCGGAAGUUGCGGUAAGCACAGUCCUGGUCCGGGAAGAAAAAGGUACGCAAUCCCCUACGUAUUACGUUAGCAAAAUUUUGUCGGGAGCAGAAACCCGCUACCUAUAUCUGGAAAAAUUGGCCUUAGCCCUCGUGGUGGCCGCCCGGAAGCUGAGGCCCUACUUUCAGUGCCACCCGAUAGCGGCGGUGACUACUUUUCCUCUGAGGAAUAUCCUCCAUAAACCCGAGAUCUCGGGUAUAUUGGCCAAAUGGAUCGUCCAAAUGAGCGAGUUUGAUAUAGAGUAUAAGCCUCGGACUGCGAUUAAGUCGCAGGUUUUGGCUGACUUCAUAGCCGAUUUCAGCCCAGGGUUGAUGCCCUUGGCCUCCAAAGAGGCAAUAAUGGUGUCAGAGCCAACAUCGGGAGUCUGGACCUUAUUUACGGAUAGAGCUUCAAAUGUGAAAGGGUCCGGGCUCGGAAUAGUCCUGGUCACGCCUUCGGGGGAAACCUUAAGGCAAGCCAUCAGGACGGUUACUUUAACUAACAAUGAAGCGGAAUAUGAAGCAUUGAUUACAGGGCUCGAAUUGGCCCAGGGCUUCGACUCCAAAGCAAUCAACGUCAAAUGUGACUCGCAACUGGUGGUAAAUCAGGUCUACGAAAUUGAUACCAAAGAUGAGUGAAUGCAACAGUACGUGGUAAAGGUUCAGGCCUUAUUGUCAUGAUUCUAUGAGUGGUCAAUAACCCACAUCCCGAGGGAAGAAAACGUGGAAGCAGCUGCGUUAGCAAAUCUGGCUCAUUAACAGAAAUUCAGGGACCAGAAUCUGGGACAAUAGUUCAACUGAUGAACUCAGCCUUAGACACGAAGGGUUACUAUAAGGUCAAUUCGACCAACCUGGUCUGGGACUGGAGAAACGAGAUAAUCGAUUAUCUUGAACACGGGAAACUACCCAAGGACCCCAAGUCAUCGAGAGCACUGCGCACUAAAGUCGCACGAUACAGCUUUGAGAAAGGGAAGUUGUGCAGGAAAUCAUUCCAAGGCCCGCUGGCCCGAUGCCUAGGAGCAUCUGAAGCAAGCUACAUAAUGAGAGAAAUCCAUGAAAGAAUAUGUGGUAACCAUUCGGGUGCAGAUGCUUUGGUGUUGCAAUUAGUCCAAGCGGGAUAUUAUUGGCCCCACAUGGAACUAGAUGCCAAAGACUUUAUACGAAAAUAUGAUGAGUGCCAACGCCACGCACCUAUGCUAUAUCAACCAGCAGAACCGUUACAUUCGAUCUUGUCUCCGUGGCCAUUCAUGAAAUGAGGGAUGGAUAUUGUCAGACCUCUACCACCGGCUCCGGGAAAGGUAAUAUUUCUUUUAAUUUUUGACUAACUAUUUUUUCCAAAUGGGUGGAAGCAGGUCCUUACCAAAGGAUCGGAGGACGUGAGGUGGUCAACUUCCUAUGGGAGAAUAUAAUAUGCAGGUUCGGAAUACCUAAGGAAAUUGCAUGCGACACCCGGCCACAGUUUAUUGGUGCAAAAGUCACAAAAUUCCUUGAAUAUUUGAAGAUAAAAAGGAUUACCUCGUCACCGUACUAUCCGAGCGCAAAUGAACAGGCAAAGUCAACAAAUAAAAUAAUUGUGCAAAAUCUGAAGAAGAGGCUGGAAGCAGCAAAGGGCCACUGGCCCAAGGAAUUACCGGGGGGGGGGGGGGUAUUAUGGGCCUACCGAACAAAUGUUAAAUCAGGCACACGAGAAACUCAUUUUUCUCUUGUGUACGGUGUAGAAGCUUUGAUACCGGUGGAAGUGGGGGAGCCCACUUUAAGAUAUUCCCGGGUAAAUGAAGAAUCAAACAACGAUGUAAUGUUAAUCAACUUAGAACUGCUCGAGGGACGCAGGGACCUGGCACAUGUCAGAAUGGUAGCUCAAAAGCAGAGGAUGGAGCGAUAUUACAAUCAAAGAACCAACCUUUCUUACUCCAAAGUAGGGGACUUGGUCUUGAGGAAGGUGACUCAAAACACCCGAGAACUCAACGGCAAGUUAGUUUCCACGUAGGAAGGCCCUUUCCGGGUUUCAGCUAUCACCGGUAAAGGAUCAUAUGAGUUGUAAAAUCACAACGGAGACAAGUUGCCCAGCAACUGGAACGUGGCUCAUCUCAAAAACUAUUACUACUAACAAACAACAGUCAGACGGAAAGUAUGUGCUGCACUCUUUUGUCCUUCGUUCUGCUUUUUUAUCCUGAUUGGGUUUUUCCAGGAAAGGUUUAUUAACAAGGCGAAAACCAUAAAAAACAAUAAUGAGACCUAUUGAUUUUAAAUUUUCAUUCGGGAGCGAUAAGGUAAUCUUUGCUUCGUUAGCAAAUUCCCACCGGGAAGUUAAGUUUGCUGACAAAGCAAAGGUUACACGACCGUUCAUGAACAUUAACCACUAGAGGAUUGUCAGGUAUCCUUUCACUCAACAACAUGAAUUCCUAAGGGUAAAGCGAAAUAUGCUACCGAGCGAAGGGUUACGCAACAAUUCAUCGGUGGAACCUUCGAAGAUACAAGACUUCGAGUGUUCAAAAAUGCAUUCUUCGCAUUAGAACACUUGGGGGAGAAUACUGAUAUGAUUGCAAGGCAACACUGAAUGCGACGUCAACCGGGAACAAAAAUUCGGGAACAAAAUACAUACUCGGCAACACUAAAUGCCACAUCAACCGGGAACGAAAAUCCAGCAACAAAAUACAUACUCGGCAACACUGAAUGCCAUGUUAACCAAGAACGAAAAUCCGACAAGGCAACUCUGAAUUCCACACGCCAUCGGGGUCGGGGACUGCACAGACAACCCUGUAGAAACAAGUGUACAAAAAUAGUCACAAGUCUUGGAAAUUUCUUUUCUACGUAGCAAAAUGCCUACGUAAACUGUGAAAACAAAAGGAACAAAAUGAAAUCCAUCUUCUUUUAUCUUGUUUCUUGUUUGUACGAUGAGUUAAUUUUAUCAUUUGAAAUUUAAACAAGUACUUCAAAUGUUAGUGCCGUAAUGAACAGGAGACAUUCUCUUCAAGAGCACCGUAAACAUAAGAGGGUCCCCUCUUAUUAAAAUCCUCCUGUUAAAGGGUUUGUUCCAGAAGAAUAUAUGCCCGGAACCAAAAAUGCUAUUGGGGAAAAUACACCCGAAGCCAUAUAUAAAAAAUAUAUAUAAACCAAAGUUGCGCAAACACUCAUUGAAACCCCCACGAAAAAGGGGUUUCCUCGGAAACAAAGUGCAUCAAAGGAAAUGCAUCCGAGACCACAUACAGAAAACUAUGCACAGAUAUUCAAGCAAAAGCAAGACUCAAUCAAACAUUUGAGCAAAAAUAUGUCCUCAUUUACAAGAAUAUGCCAAAAGAAAUACAAAACAAGGAAAGAAAAAAACUAAACUACAACGUCGCUAGAAUCGGAAGGAAGAGAAGAAUCUGCAUCCCCGGGAACAGUAGUUGGUUCAACCGAUGGCUCAACAUCUUCCCCAGCUUGGUUCUUGGCAUCAUCGCGUUCCGAUUCUUCUCCAGUAUCUGAAAUUUUGGAAACAGAAUCAGAAGAACAAGGAGCGCCAGACCGCGCUGGGAGCCCAUUUUCUGCAUCAAACUCAAGCUCACAUGCCUUGGCCAUUUCUGCAUAAAUAUCAAUAGCGUCUUCUUUGGCGUCUUCCAAGGUUUUUCUCCUCAUGUUGUACAUGGCGUAAGUUUUCUCAAUAAUGAGGGAAGUUUCUCCGCGCUUGAGUUCUUCUUUGGGCUCGGUGAUCUCGGUGGAAAGACUAUCCCGGGAGGAUAUAGCGGCCUGAAGGCUAACAUCAAGAUCUCGGAUAGUUGAACUAUAGAGCUUGUUAUGCUCAAUAGUUUUCUUAUUCUUCUCCUCCAACCGGGCAUAUCUUGCCUCCGCAGCAGUAAGCUCUUAAACCUUACAAUGCAAGGCUACUUCUAAGUUAGUUAUCCUUUCAGUAGCAGCAGCCUCAUGGCCAUUGGGAGCAAGAAUGGAAUCGUGAACCUCAGCCCAUUUGGCUUUCACUUCGUCAAAGCUAGUCUUCAGCGGCGCAAUUUCAUGGCUAAGGAUAUCUACUUCCUACUCACUUUGAUACAAGCGGGCUUCCAAAAUAUCCGCCUCAGUGGCCCUGAUUUCCAAUUCCGAGAGACGAAGAACAUUCUGGUCCCGUUCCGCCAGAAGUCGAUCCCGUUCAGAAGAAAGUUCCUCUUUCUCACGGAUUAGCCUUUGAAGGCCUUCGGAAGCAAGAAAAUUGUCCUGCAGGAUAAGAAGAGGUAAAACUUAAAAUGCACUCAUUCAAAAGCUGAAAAAUAACAGAAAAAGGAAGAAAUAUACCGCAGCGGCAUUAUGCAUGGCAUUAUUCAACAAACACUCUCCCGAGAGUGUUUGUAUUUUUUCCCAAUCCUUCCCUGAAGCCAUGGGCUUCAGGUAAUUUGCAAGCUUCACCAGCCGGGAAAGAAGGUUGCACUUAGUAUAGACUGAAAGGGUAACAUUCCUCCUCCUAUGAGUAUCUUCAGAAGGGGUAGCAUAAUUUUGCCCCAAAAUCCCGUGAAAAGGGGACUGUGGAAGAGGAACUCCCUUGUCAUGGUCAGGCGCGGCCGUUGGAGAUGACGCUAUUGGUGGAAGCAUGGAUGAAGACAGAAAAUAUGUAGUAGCUGCCGGUGGUGAAGAAGGUGGUGAUGAAGCAGGUAAAGGAGAAUAACGAGAAACAGAUGCAUCGAAGGCAACAUUGAUUGUCGGGUGCUCAACAACCGAGGACGGCAAAGUCCCGAUACUCUACCUCACGGUACUAGGUACAACAAUUGGGGCUCGAGAACGGGAAUUAGCAUUUUCCACCAAAUCAAACUGUUACAACCCAAAAUCCAACUAGCCGUGAUGGCACCUAACCCAACCCGCUAGGUAAGCCAAUUAUCAACCAUCAAAUUCCAAUAACAAUAAUUAAAGCAAUUUAAGUAAAUAAAAAUCUUAAUUUUAUACAUUCCCCAAGAACUGGUAGUACGAAUCAUGAGCUUCUAAGAAUAGAGUAUACAAAGCUGGUAUGAAGUAAUACAUCUGUUUGAAAAGUAUAUAAACAAAGUUUUAUGAAUCUAAGGCUACCAUGAACAAGAGGCAGCUACAACCGGAAUGCAGGUACAUCUUCAGAUCCAACUCCCAACGAACACAGCAACAAUAACAGCUAACAUCUGCACGCAAGGUGCAAAAGUUUAGUAUGAUUACAACCGACCCCAUGUACUCAAUAAGUAACAAACCUAACCUUAGGUUGAAAGUAGUGACGAGCUUGUACCAAGUUCGGAUCCCAACUUCAAUAACCAACAAUAGUUCAUAACAACAUAAAACAAGUAAUACCAGAAGUAACUCAACAAUCAAAUGCUCAACAAAAACGUGAUUUCUGAAAAUAGUUCUGCCUUUCAAGUACAUCAAUGAAAACCCAAAUUUUACCUGAGUUUCCAAAAAUAUGGAUAAGUUUGAAAAUAAUAAUUUUCCCAAAACCUUUCAAUCAUAAAUAAGAUGUUUUAAUUUCUUUCCAGAUAACCAGUGUAAAACAAAUGUAUUACUAUGCCCAUCUGCCAACAUGUGUGAGAAAUCAUGAAUGAUCUGAUACCGUACAGUAUGAGGAAAAUACAUCUUUAUGCAUGUAUGUCAUGUCUGCAUGUCAAUACAAUGUAUCUCAGAGAUGAACUCAUGUACUCACACUCUCAGAGUACUCAAUCUCAAUUUCUCACGCAUUCCACUCAUCAAGCCCAAUCACUCGGUACUGUAUAUGACCAAUCCGGUCCAGGGAAGAAUUAUCCCGGAAUAUACACAUCAACUGAUCAUCAGUCACUCAGUACCGAGCAGGGCCAAUCCAGCCCGUGGAGAAGAUACAUCUCCAUGUAUAUAAUGCUUCGAACAAGAUCCAUGUCCAAGGAAGACAUAUCCCUAAAUAAUAUCAACCGCGCUCACUAGGGGUGUGCAGACUCCGGAGGGGCUCCUACAGCCCAAGCGCUAUAAUCCGCAUGGACAACUAACGUGCCAUAGUAUCAAUAUCAGAAUCAAUCAGGCCAUCGACCUCACUCAGUCAUCAAUCUCUCCAGUCUCUCUCUCACGGGCUCACAAUGUCAAGAAACUAGCCCAGAAAUGAUGAUAUGAUAUAUCAGUAACUAACAAUAGAGACUGAGAUAUAAUAUGCAAUAAAAUGAGUAUGACUGUGUAUGAAAUUUCAAUUUAAACAAAUAUUUCACAGCAAUAUGACCUCUAUGAGUCUCAAUAAUACUGGAACAUAGCCUCAGCAUGAUUUUUAGUAUGAUUCUCAGCUCAAUUUCUUUAACACAUAAAAGUGCAUGAAAAAUGCCAAGAUUAUUUGACUACAGAAUUCCACGGAAAUAAUUAAGUCACAAUUUCUAUGGUGCACGCCCACACGCCCGUCACCUAGCAUAUGCGUCACCUCCAAACAAUUCACAUAAUACGUAUAUUCAGGGUUCAUACCCUCACCUCCAAGAUUAGAAGAGUUACUUACCUCGAACAAGGCAAUACCAAUGCCGAGCAAGCUAAACAAUGCUCCAGAAAUUCCAUUUUGCGCGUAUCAACUUCCGAACAGCUCGAAUCUAGUCAUAAUUAAUUUGAUUCAGUCCACACAAUUAUAGGAAUUAAUUCCAUAACAAAAUAAUAAUACUUUCCCACAAAAUUCGAAAUUACACUCCAAAAAUCUCCCGUAAGGCCCAUAUCUCGGAAUCAUACGAAACUCACAAAAUCUGAUAGCCCAUCCAAUUACAAGCUCAACCAUACUAAUUUCAUUCAAUUCUGACUCCAAAUCGAUGUUCAAAACUCAAAAUUCGUUUUAUGAAAUUAUAGGAAUUUCCUUCGAUUUCUCUUGAAGAUUCGAUAAUCAUAUACUAAAAAUGAAGAUUAAUUCAUGAAAUAUAAUCACAAGGAAGUCAAGAACACUUACCCCAAGUUGUGUGGAAACAUUCCUCUCCAAAAUCGCCCAAAUCGAGCUCCAAAAUCCGAAAAUGAGUGAUACUAUCGAACCCUCAAACUUAAAGGGUUCAGCCCAGGCUUUUCGCACCUGCGCACCCACUUCUGCAGAAAAAUAUCGCACCUGCACUGCCCGACUUCCUCACCAUUUUCCUCUUCUACGAAUCCCUGCCCGCAUCUGCGCAAUCGCAGGUGCGAAAAUCCUAUCGCACCUGCAACCUCUGCUGACACCCUCCAACGCCGCACCUGCGCUCGAACUGCCGCACCUGCGGCCUCGCACAUGCGGCCAAGACCCUCGCAUAUGCGAUCACUCUAGAAGUCUAUAUUCAGAACAUUCAAAUUCUAUAUUUUGUACCGAAACACAUCAAAUCAAUUCAGAAUGGCUUUAAAUUUUGCACACAAGUCAUAAAUGACAUAACAAAGCUAUUUCUAUUUCCAGAAUCGAAUUUCGACCCCGAUAUCAAAAAGUCAACCCCCUGGUCAAACUUCCCAAAAACUUUAACUUUUGCCAUUUCAAGCCUGAUUCCACUAUGGACCUCCAAAUAAUUUUUCAGACACGCUCCUAUGUCCAAAAUCACCAUACGAAGCUACAAGAAUCAUCAGAAUUCGAAUCCGAGGUCGUUUACACAUAGAUCAAUAUCCGGUCGACUUUUUCAACUUAAGCUUUCCAUUUAAGAGACUAAGUGUCCCAUUUCACUCUAAAUUCUCUCUGGACCAGAACUAACUAACCCGAUAAGUCAUACAAUAGCUAUAAAGCACAAAGGAAGUGGUAAAUGGGGGAACGGGGCUGUAAUACUCAAGACGACCGGUUGGGUCGAUACACAAACUCUCUCUAAAGUGCCGAGACAUUAUCCUCGACGGAUGUGACUACAUCAACAGGUUGAGCAUCAUGUUGAGAGGAUAAGGAUUGUUGUCUUCUAUGAAGAGAAGCUCCCUCAUCACUAGCUUCUUCAUCAUCAAUCACUACAGUGUUUAUGACCGGCCCAGAGAGAGGACCGGUCGAUUUUGCCACCGAAGAUGAUUCAGUUGUAUCGAUCUUUGCCCUCUUAUUCUUCACCCCGGUCGCAGAGGAAUGCCUUAUUUUUGGUUGCUUGUUCUCUGGCCGGGGACUCGACGUAGAACCGGAGGCACCCGUUCGAGCAAGCGCCUGUUGGAGCAGCCUCGCCGCAUUAGCAGGGUCAGCCAAAACAUCCUCUUCGAGGAUCUCGACCGAGCCCGGGGGUAGACCUAAUUUGGCAAACAAGUUAGGGGAUUCAUCCGAAAUUCACAUAUAUAAAGACUGAAGCAUAGUAAAUUAUAGUUACCAUAAUAUUUGGCCAUCCACCUGUAUUUAAUGGAUAGCUCUUUCCAUAAGCGGAUUUCGGGCGUAGUGAUGUCCAAAAUCUUUUGAACCCACCGGUCCAAACCUUCUAUCACCGGUGGAACCCAACAGGUCGCUAUAGCAUACAAAAGUUGAGAGGGCCAAUACAAACAUAAAAAGAAUUUUGAAGAGGAGAAUGUAUUAAAGGGAACUUACGGGAACGAUUUCAAGCGACCGGAAAGGAUGUUGUCGUUGUUUGAAUGAUAUCAUCGGAUGCUACUGCAACGAAUUGUUCCAUCCACCCUCAAUCAUUAUCAUCAUCCAUGCUUGAUAUAAAAUCAUGAUGAACACACUUGCAGAGAUUUAUCAUUCCCCCGCGGAAGUUCUUGGGUGGAUACAAGUUCAUCAUGUGGGCCAAGGACAACUCCUUUCCGGUUUCAGAACACAAGCGCAGGAGGUAGGCAACCGUCCUCCACACAGAGGGGCUUACCUAUGCCAAACAUACCAGAUAGCGGAGGCAAAAUUCUGCUAUCAAGGAAUCAAGCUCCCCAGUCAAAGAAAACGUACUCAAGGUAAAAGGGUACGUAUAAAAAUAUGUGAAACCCUCUCUGGGAAGGUUCACUCGCUCCGACAGAUCGGGAGCGAUGAUGUCCAAAUUUGGGCAGCGGCAAUCUUCCUUCACAGUAGGGAUACUAGAAGGACGGAUGAAAGAUGUGUACCUACUAACCGCCCAUGUACGGGGGUUAUCUGUAGGACAUUUCUCCUCGAAAUCCUUCAAAAUACUGAGCCUUUUGGGGAUUAUGGAACUCACUGUUGGAGGAACAGAGUCUUCGUUUUUGUUCUUAUUUUUGGAAGAACCAGAGCGUUUAGAUGAAGAAGCCAUUGGAAGAGGUGAAUGAAAGAUUCUGUGUUUUAGGAAAAUUAAGGGGGAAACGUAAAACAUGAAUGCAGGCGGAAGUUUAAGAAACAAGUGAAACUCAAAAGAGAAGGGAGUUCGUACGUAUAGGUGAAUAUUUUGGCAGCUAAAAUACUUGGCUCUAAUUACCUCGAUAAUCGGCGGAAGGCGUGCUAAAUCAUAAGAGGACGCGUGUUCUAGGCAAUAAAUACAGAGGGGCAGACGUCUAAUCAAUCGUUAAUAACCUACAAAAGGAAUUAUUGUAUUUCCGGUCAAAGGAAGAUUCUCACAAACUUCCCGGUAACACAAAGUUAUAUUACCGGAAAGCAAGGGAACUAUCUGUAUGGGAUAAAAUAUGGUAUGUUACGUGGCCGUCUAAGAAGAGAACACAUGGAGUCAAAAUCGGGAGGAAUGUAAAACUGGGCACAAUCAUCUCAUGUGUCGCCGAAAAGGGGCAAUUCCGUAAAGGGAUUGAGCAUGAUGCGUCAGGUAGCAUUUACUGAAGAAUAUUCUACAUCAUUAAAGAGUAACGACUCAUUAAUAAGAUCUGAGCAUCUAUGUUUACCGUUAGGUUUCCAUUAUCACAUUCUAGUAAUUGUCAUUAGUGGUGGGCCAAACCAUUACGCCCACUGAGCUAUAAAUAAUAGGCUCAACCAUCAUUGUAAGGGAUCCUUGGGAGAAGUCGUUCGAUACAUUCUAUACAACAAUCUGAUACAUUUUUUUUCUCUCGCUCGCUUGUGAAUCUUAUUAUCACUGUAUACGGAAACCUUGUUUCCGGGCUCUUUGAAUCUAUCAUUCCAUCUACGUUUUGAACUAAGUAUCUUAGAUAUAAAUCAAUUAAUUCAUGAUCUUUGGGAUCUAAUUGACUCAUCUGUCUAGAAACCACGAACAAAUUUAGCUGUAUCGAUUUACGAGUAAACAAAAACUAAAUUUGUAAACCACGAGUAGCUAUUUUGAUUGUUGUAAAUUUAGGCUCGAUCAAAUAAAUGAAAACAAUAUCUUUACGCAAAAGGGUCCGUGUACAGUCCUAUAUUCUAUAUGAAUUUCAGUAUUUGGCUUAUUGCACUUAUACUCCUCUCCUUUUCUUUUCCCCAACGGUCAUGGUAUUUGACAGAGAUAUUGUUGAGAAUGUUGUUGGUGUCAUUGGUUAGUUUGAAAUUUAAUUUUCUUUAGCUUCCUUGGAGAAGGGGAAAAAAAAAAACACACGCAACCACAUACACUACAAGUAUUAUUUCUCACUGUAUAGUUAAUUAAGAAUUCUACAUGUAUAUAUAAAAGUGGCUGUGGGGUUUGUAUUCAAAACAUGUUCUAUUUCACUCCCCGAUGAGGGUUCUUUUCACCCAUCCCUCAUGGUACUACUUCGCUAUCGGUCACCCAGGAAUAUUUAGCCUUGUAAGGUGGUCCUUGCUGAUUCACACGGGAUUCCACGUGCCCCAUGCUAUCGGUAUGUAUAUAUUUCUUUAUCCUAUAAAACAUAUAUAAUAUCUGCUCCAAAGUUAUUGCACAACUUUCGUUUCGAUCAAUUGUAGGACUAAUAAAUAGCUUUUCGCGUUCAUCCAUGGUUUAAGCAAGGUUCGCACCCUAAAAGGAUGUAAUAUAGGGUGUCUAUCCUGAUACAAGUAUCACUAACUGAUUUCAUGGCUCGAACCGGUGACCUAUAAAUCUCAGAGAAACAACUUUACCGUUACCUCAAGGUUUCCUUCAACUGCCAAAAGUUUUACUAUCUCAGAAAUAAUUCGUAAAGCUAGCUAUUUCAGUGGCUGCUACAAUUAGUUAAUAUCAUCACAUGCAUCUACAAAGCCCCAAUACCCAAUUUGGUAUACCAUUUUAAACAUUUCACUAGAAAAGGUGCUUGAAGUGAAAAGACCGGUUGAAUUGUCACAUUUUGUCACAUGCAUUGAAAAGAUUGCAUGGUUGAUAUAUACGUUAAAAGAUUCCUUUGUUAAUUCCUGAUAAGAAAAGGGUAACUAUCUCUAGAAUGGAUUAGGCUUAACUAAUCCUAAUGAGGCACCUAUAAAAAGCUCCAUUCUUAGGUACAUUUCAUAGGAAUGAAUUCUCUUCUUACAAGCUCCAUUCUUAGGUACAUUUCAUAGGAAUCCAAUAUAAAAUUUCAAUGUAAAUCAUGUUUUUUGAUGGGCAUCUAUAUUGCCAGCGUCAAUAACAGCUUUCUCUCUUAGCUAGCUUAAGAUCUUCAUCUACCGUCAUCUUCACCAAUUGCUCAAAUCCGAAUCUAGGUUUCCAAUCCAAAACCUUUUUCGCUUUGCUUGCAUCUCCUUUGAGAUUAUCCACUUCCACGCGCCUAAAUUGCCGAUGGUCAAUCUCUACAUGUUCCUUCCAGCUUAACCCCACAUAACCAAAUGCCAAUUCGCAAAACUCCUCCAUAGUAUAUGACUCUUCAGUAGCGAACACAUAAUCAUCAGGCUUCUCUUAUUGUCUAUCCAGAAUUUUUCUUCAAAAGUGAUUAUAACUACAACCUUUAUGUUAUUAUAGAUAUCUUAAUUUCCACAACUCCCUUUUACCAAUCAAUUUUUUAUUAGAUUGAUGUUUAGGACUCAUUGUUUAUUCUACAACCAUGAAAACUCAAGCUGUGUUCUUGAAGAGCAUGACUUGAGUCCAAGAUCUCACCUUUUCUAAAGGAAAUGCUCAUUUUGCUGCACCAAAAAGUAAGCCCACUUGUCAUGAUGAUUAUGAGUUGGUUAGUGAAGAGUCACAUG